GCUGGCUUGCGCAGCUUACACAUGCAAGUCGAGCGGGGAAAGGUAGCUUGCUACCUAACUUAGCGGCGGACGGGUGAGUAAUACUUAGGAAUCUGCCUAUUAGUGGGGGACAACAUUUCGAAAGGAAUGCUAAUACCGCAUACGCCCUACGGGGGAAAGCAGGGGAUCACUUGUGACCUUGCGCUAAUAGAUGAGCCUAAGUCGGAUUAGCUAGUUGGUGGGGUAAAGGCCUACCAAGGCGACGAUCUGUAGCGGGUCUGAGAGGAUGAUCCGCCACACUGGGACUGAGACACGGCCCAGACUCCUACGGGAGGCAGCAGUGGGGAAUAUUGGACAAUGGGGGGAACCCUGAUCCAGCCAUGCCGCGUGUGUGAAGAAGGCCUUUUGGUUGUAAAGCACUUUAAGCGAGGAGGAGGCUACUCUAGUUAAUACCUAGGGAUAGUGGACGUUACUCGCAGAAUAAGCACCGGCUAACUCUGUGCCAGCAGCCGCGGUAAUACAGAGGGUGCAAGCGUUAAUCGGAUUUACUGGGCGUAAAGCGUGCGUAGGUGGCCAAUUAAGUCAAAUGUGAAAUCCCCGAGCUUAACUUGGGAAUUGCAUUCGAUACUGGUUGGCUAGAGUAUGGGAGAGGAUGGUAGAAUUCCAGGUGUAGCGGUGAAAUGCGUAGAGAUCUGGAGGAAUACCGAUGGCGAAGGCAGCCAUCUGGCCUAAUACUGACACUGAGGUACGAAAGCAUGGGGAGCAAACAGGAUUAGAUACCCUGGUAGUCCAUGCCGUAAACGAUGUCUACUAGCCGUUGGGGUCUUUGAGACUUUAGUGGCGCAGCUAACGCGAUAAGUAGACCGCCUGGGGAGUACGGUCGCAAGACUAAAACUCAAAUGAAUUGACGGGGGCCCGCACAAGCGGUGGAGCAUGUGGUUUAAUUCGAUGCAACGCGAAGAACCUUACCUGGUCUUGACAUAGUAAGAACUUUCCAGAGAUGGAUUGGUGCCUUCGGGAGCUUACAUACAGGUGCUGCAUGGCUGUCGUCAGCUCGUGUCGUGAGAUG
rnacentral:rRNA from 1 species